GACUGAGGGGGAGGCGGCGACGAGCCCGAGAGAGCGGCAGGCAAUGGCUGAGGGGGGUCCCGUUCUGGACCGGGUCCUGCAGUUCUUGCUCGCCCAGGGGGGACGCGUGAGGGACGGCGAACUCACCGAGAGGUUCCGGGGCUUCCUGGAGGAGGGGGACCCCGCCAAGAGAGCGGAGCGCUGCGCGGAGUGGAAGGCGGCGCUCAAGGCCUGUGCCGUCGUCAAGCAGGACAAGGGCGCACGGUUCCUGGUGCUGAAGAAGAAGUUCCGUCACCUGCUGGGUGGCGAUGCGGCCGCGGGAACCCAGGGGUCGGGAGGAGGAGGGGAGGAGGAGGACGAGCGCGGAGAAUCCUCCCUCCCAGUGGAGGCACAGCCCCACGUCCACGAUGGAGAGGAGGAGGAGGAGCAGCAGCAGCAGCAGCAGGAGGAGGUGAAGAAGAUGGACGAGGAGGCGGAGCCGUCGGGCGAUGGUGCUGAGCUGCCGGAGGUGGAGGUGAAGGGACGUGGCAAGGAGGUGGAGGAGGCGAUGGAGGUGGAGGAGAAACAGGAGGUGGAGGAGGUGGACAAGGAGGAGGCCAUCGUGGAGGCUGAGGAGAUGUGUGAGCAGGAGGCUCCGGCAGAUUGUCGUGACGCUGACCCCGAGGCCUCGUUGUCGCCGUCGUCCGAUGGUGGCAGGGUGGAGGGUGGGGGAGGGGAUGAUGCGUGGGCCCCCCCGAUUGGGGGGCAUGAGCUGGUGUCUGCGAGCAGCGAGACGAUCUCUGAGCAGAGUGAGCAGCUCCAGUCCAUGUGCUCUAGGGCCGAGACGGAGCAAGAGGAUGUGGGGAGCGUCACCGCGUCGUCCGUGACGGUGAGAACCGGGCGCCAGCUCCCACUCAGCUGGAGCCGCUGGAGAGGAAGUGGAUGCGGGGGGCAGCCGUGGGGUGCGCCGACACGCUGAGGCAGCUGCUGGCGCAGGACCCGAGCCUCGCCUCGCACAGGGAUUUCACGUCGGGGGUGAGUAGCUGCCGUGCUCUAGAGCUACGUAGCUCUUUUUCAGAAGCAACCUAGCCACAAACGAUUGCCCAACGAAGUGGCUUACAAUCAUCACGUGAAAAUGUUAAAGCAGC